AUACCUCAUGUGAGAACAUCAGAGUUGGAACACAGCUUGAAUGGCUGUGUGGGUGGACGGAGGAGUCCACAUGCCGGGAGGACGAUGACGCUCUUCACCUGAACUCGGGUACUUUAGGUUUGAAGUUACUGCCUAGCAUUGUGGAAGCAGCACGGAAAUGCACAAGGAGCAGAGGAAGGGUGUGGUCCAUCCCGGACAGGCUGAGUCUCUUCAAGGUUAGGCACUUCGUCUGCCACUGAGGCCAGACAAGGCAGCCCAGCUAGAAGAACAUAUCCCACGGACAGGCAACAGCUUUUGGGAUAGCCCCUGCUCCAGUUGUUCAGGACUCAGAUGAAGACCAAGCUGCACACCUGCUACAUGUGCGGAGAAGCCUAGGCCCAGCCCGUGUAUGUUCUUUGGUUGGUGGUUCAGACUCUGAGAACCCCAAGGAUCCAGCUCUUAUGCUGAAGAUCGCCACCCAGUGGGGACACGGGAAAUUCCAGCCCAGGGUGCCCAGCUGUGACCUAAUGAGGAAGCCUGUGGAUGGUGACAGAAAGCUGGCUAACAUAAGAGUCACUGAAGACUUUCAUCUUUCCUCUAAUAAAAUGGAGUCAGACAUUGUGCUGGCUGGUUUUGAGGGUCAACUUGACUGACAAGAAGCUCAAGCCAGAGAGGAGGGAGCCUCAGUUGAGGAAAUGCCUCCAUGAGAUCCAGCUGUGAGACAUUUUCUCAUUAGUGAUCAACGAGGGAGCCUAAUAAGGAGAGUGCUGUCCCUGGUCUGGUGGUCCUGGGUUCUAUGAGAAAGAAAGCUGCUAAGCCAUGUUAAACAAGCCAGUUACCAGCACCCCUCCAUGCCCCCUGCACAGCUCCUGCCUGCAGGCUCCAGCCCUGCUUUAGUUCCUGUCCUGACUUCCUCCAAUGAUGGACCAUGAUCUGGAAGUGUAAGCUAAAUAAAGCCUUUCCUCCCCAACUUCCUUUUUGGCCAUGGUGUUUUGUUCCAGCAGUAAAAUCCCCAACGAAGACAUCAUCAUAACUGUUUAAUGAGAAUUUCGGCUUCUAUAUUGUUUGCUAUAUACCACUGUGAAAGAGCCAAGAGGAACAAGGGCUGGUGUUGUUCUUAUUUUACAAAUGAAGACACUGAAAUACACAGAAGUCAAGUUUUGCUCUCAGCUUCAUGGUUUUGAUCAUUUUUUCCCCAGUUAAUGUCCACAUGGCUUAGAAUGUUAUAUUCAAUUUUGACACUCUGAAGGAAUCAAGCUUUCUUGUUUUUAAGUAAAAUUUCUUUCAACUCAUGACCACAGAAUAUGAGGAUAAUACUCUCUUGGGGUGAGUGAUGGCUAUUUUCGGUUGUCAACUUGACGCUGUCUGGCAUGAACUACAAUCCAGAAAUGGAGGGCACACCUCUGAUCCAGAUCUUGAGUCGGGGAGAAAACACACCUUUGAUCUGGAUCUUGAGGCGGGAAGACACCAAGUUUGUGAUCUAAAUCUUGAGGUGAGAUGACGCACACCUUUAAUCCAGCCAGAUCUUCAGGCACGGCUUUAAUGUGGGCCAAAUCUUCUGCAGGAGGCCUACAUAAGGGCAAUGAAGAAGGAAGGGUUUGCUUUUCUUUGCCUGCUUGCAUUCCCUUUGCCAGCAUAUCCAUUGGGGACCACUUCUUCAGGAUCCCAGCUUAUCCUGAAGACCAGCCGAGACAAUCAGCCUUGUGGGGCUGAGCAACUACCAGAUGCUUGGACUUUCCAUUCUCAGCGGCCCAUUGGUAUAUAUGGAUUCAUUCCAUAAAUUCUGUGACUCUAGAGAACCCUGACUAAUACAGAAGAAUGUCCUAGAGCAAUUGCUUCAUGCUUAGUACUCACAACAGAAGGCUGCAGGUCGGAAGCCAACUUACACACACACACACACACACACACACACACACACACACACAACACACACACGCCGCCCCCUCUCCCCCCGGGUGUGCAGGAUGAAUGUUCUCGAGAAUCAGUUCUUAUAGCACAGAUAGCAGAAGAAGCUGGCAAUCUCUCGAACCAGAGGAAGAAUCAUGCCCAGAGUUGUGAACAACUGUUCCUGUAGCCUAGACACAGAGUACCGUAGAGAACGAGUUUGAGUGCCACAGCUCUGCAGUACCUUGUUUGGGCCCCCGGGCGGGACAAAGCUUUUGCUUAAUCCUUAGGUGAGGUGACAGACUGGUAGCCAUGAUUGAUCAAAAGUUGGCUGCUUGACUAGUGGAAACCUAGCUAACUAAAUUGGGUUUUGGUUACAAACACAUGAAGUUGUGUUGAAGUUGACUAGCCAGGACUGAAAAUACAGAUGCAUUCCCAGGCUAAUGUUAAUCUCACACUGUUGAGAAAGACGCAUCUCCUAUUCGGGCUUCGCUAUUUGCAUCUGAGGCUGUAGUAGGACACAUUAUCUUUGGAGUUACUGAUAUUUCUGAGUCCAUUUUUGGAUCCUGAUCUAGUGGAGAAUGGCAUCCGUGUCCUUGUCUGAACUCUGCUUGCUCAAUCAGUUGUCACUGCCAUUACAUUCUGGGCCCUGAUGGGUAAUAGGUAAUUCUGGAUUCCUCCCUGCCUUUUAUGGUUAGGAGAAACUGAGAGCACUCUUGUAAGCUUUGUGAAAUGCAAUGCCAGCAUGCACUAGCAGUCUGACUGGUACAUUAAAGAAAGACAUGGUGUCCAUCCCAGGAACCUUUGGGAAUCAUUGGAUACUUGCAAAAAGAGUCACCAUGUCAGGGUAGAAGGAAUAGAGACAGUGACGAUAGGAGACUUAUUACUACAAACUUGGAAUACCUAUUUACAAUGCAUCUCCAAUGAUUCCAGAAGGUUCCGAUGACGAGGUCAGAUCCCCAGGAGUUAGAGUUACAGAUGUCCAUCUGUAACAGCCAUAGAGCUGUCCAUCCCGUGUUCAGGGAACUGAACUUGUGUCUUCCAGAAGAGCAGCGAGUGCUCUUCACUGCUGAGCUAUGUCCCCUAUUCCCUUCAUCUGCUCUAUUUAAACUGGUGAUCUCAGCACUUUGAAUGACACCUAUCAGGUAGCUGUUGAGUUACAAGGGGACGGCUAUCGGUGUGAAAAAGGUGACUUUCUCUCUAUGGUGACAUCAUGACAGCCGCUGAGAUGCCCCCUACACCACCUCUCCCCACACCCCCAUCACUGUCACCCACAUACUGGAACCUGAGGUUAGGAAAUGAUUUUUCCUCUUUGCCUGGCAUCCCACCCCAGUUCUCUCUCCUGGAGCAUUGCCCCCUGAAUUCCUUUCUCCCACCAGAUGGCACUAUGUCUUCAGUAUUCAGAGCUACAGGUUUAUUGAAAUGAGGCUUCUUUGUUCUCCCUGCUACUCGAACCUUAACGAAUGGGUUUAAAGACCUAUUCCAGGCUAACAUCAUGAAUACCUUUUUUUUUUUUUUUAAAUGGCAGGCAGCCUAGCUAUAUGAAAGUUCGUGAAAUAUUUAUAAAAGCCAACUAAAAAGGCAAUAAAGACAUUGAUUUCUACAGCCAAAGCUGAGAUUUUGAUGUCACUGACAAUCAAUGUUAAGAUGUUACCACUGGGCCCUUAAUGCAAAAACUAAAAGAGAUAAAGGAAUGAUAAACCAGGCUGGAUGUGGCAUGCAUAUGCAUAUGCAUAUGCAUAUGCAUAUACAUAUACAUAUACAUAUACAUAUACACAUACACAUACACAUACACAUACACAUACACAUACACAUACACAUACCCAUACCCAUACACAUACAUGUACCCAUACACGUAUACACACACACACACACACACACACACAUACACACACACACAUACAUACAUACACAUAUACACAUACACAUAUGUAUAACAUACUAUAUCGUUUACAUGGUCUCAUCUAUCAGGAAAACUUACAGAAUUCAGGUUUGAUGAAGAGCUUUGGGUGUUGCGCUCUGGGGUCUUCUGGCCACUGGUACCUCUGAGGUAGCCUGAAGUUCAUGGAAGGAAAAGUCUGAUUAUUUCCCUCCCAUAAGGACAGGGUCAUUAGGUGUGGGCUUGAGGGUUUAGCUCCGGGUUUGUGCAGGCAAAGGGAACAGAGAAGUCACACACACACAAUCAUCCCCUCAGCUGACAUGGAACUAUAAGCAGCCUGGGCAACACACUUUCUAAGUCUACUUACUAUUCUUCCAAAGUAGCUGCGAAGGCUCCUAGUUUCACAACAUACCCCACAACCAGCAGCCUGGGAAGCUCUGAGGAGGUUUAUAUAUAUCUAACCUAGAGGCGUCUUGUUCAGUCAUAAAACAAUGUCUUGUCUGUAAUUUUACUAUUAUUCCCAGGAAAUCAGACCCUUAGAUGGACAGGCUGAAUGCUUCACAGAUCUGAUGGCUUCCCUCCGUGCAUUCUCUCUUCUUAUGAGUACAUUAAAUAAUAUUAAUAUAUUUUUAGUAAGUGACUUUCUUGGAGAAAUACUUCAGAGUUUGUUUUUUUUUUUCCUACUAAUAAGACUUCCAGAUAAACACAUUACAAACCAACCUAUGAAUCAAAUUCUUGAUGGUAGCUAUUUCCUCUUAACUUUGUUUAAAUUUAUCUCAUACGGUACCCUUUGCAGCACUGCUAAAUUCUUAUAUUAUCUUAAAGAGGAGAAACAUCAGUAAAUUAAAAACACAUUUUUUUUGUGAGUGGAUUAAUAUGAACUGUCAUCCAUGUGAAAAGCAGUGCAUAGCUAUUGUGUAAAAACAAACAUUUCCAAUUUCUCCCUCUCAGAGUAAUGCUAAUGGCGUCAUGCUGGUGGGCAGCGCUCUCUCUCUCUCUCUCUCUCUCUCUCUGAGAUAAUUGUCUAACUCACACAUAACCCCUGAUUCUUCUAUGUGAUCACUUGGUAUUAGACUCCUAUUAGGGACAAUUAACAGGCACAGACUUAAGGGAAGUGAAAACAGAUAUAAAGAAAGCACAUGGCAGAGACGGAGUACGGGGUAGAGAUAAGAACUUGUGAUCGCUGAGAGCAACAGGAGUCACAGACAGCACCCUCGUGUCUCGGCUUUGACCAUGGGCCCUUCACUGAUUACCAGAGAGGAAGGUUCAACUCCCAACCGUUUUCCUGACCAGCUGCCUACUAUUUUGAGAAAAGCAUGCUUAUUUAGAUCCCAGAACACACUGGUGGAAUAUGUCUUCUAAGGAAAAUCCUAGAAUUAUGAAUAACAUGUUAAAUGAAUGAACACGUGGAUCUAUUUGCUCUUUUGGGUGUUCGUGUAAACCAGAGAUGGAAGAUAAGAUCCUAUGAACUUUGAGCCUUGAAAAGACAAAACUAAUCGAUUGUCCAGCUGUGCUUUGAGUGCCUCCAAGACUGUAGCACACAGACAGCUCUUAUCCAGAACACAUUAAUCCAACUCAGUCCCCAGAGCUCAGACUUGGUGUCUCUGUCUGCAUUUGCCUAAUCUAAAUAUCUGAGUUGUUUCAUGCUUUGAGCCUGUGUUAUAUAUAUCCAGACACCGAUAUACAUACAUAUUUAUCUAUGUUUACCUUCAAUGUUUAUACCUGGUACAGUUCUUUGUAUAAACAUGCAACUGUCUGUAUACAUACGAAAAUACAAAAUAUUAAUUAUUGGUAUGCUCUUUAAUGAUGUUAUAAUGAUCUUGAUUUAAUAUUUCAUAUUUACUGUUUUUCAGUAACACAUUUUAUUUGGAGUCAGAAAAAUGAUAUUACUAUAAAAUCCUAAAUAUCAAAUAA